UUCUGAUUACCAAUAAUAGUUAACUAAACAACACAUUAGUUAAGUAGUUCAAACUAUUACAACGAGUACUAUAAUCCUACUUGAUUGUUAAAAAUACAACUGUAGGUUAUCUGCGUGUCAAGUGUUGGGAAUGCCCAUUCCAUCUUCCCGUUUUAACUUGUACGUGCCUGGUCGGAGUUCUUCCUCCACCACAUAUGGUCCUUCCCAAUUCGCGCCUAGUUUGCCUUUAG
rnacentral:lncRNA from 1 species